AGAGCGAACGCUGGCGGCAGGCUUAACACAUGCAAGUCGAGCGCUCGUAGCAAUACGAGAGCGGCAGACGGGAGAGUAACACGUGGGAACGUACCCUUCGGUUCGGAACAACCCAGGGAAACUUGGGCUAAAUACCGGAUACGUCCGUAAGGAGAAAGAUUUAUCGCCGAAGGAUCGGCCCGCGUCUGAUUAGCUAGUUGGUGAGGUAACGGCUCACCAAGGCGACGAUCGGUAGCUGGUCUGAGAGGACGAUCAGCCACACCGGGAUUGAGAACGGCCCAGACUCCUACGGGGGGCAGCAGUGAGGAAUUUUCCGCAAUGGGCGCAAGCCUGACGGAGCAACGCCGCGUGCAGGAAGACGGUUUUCGGAUCGUAAACUGCUUUUCUCGGGGACGAGAACGGACGGUACCCGAGGAAUCAGCCCCGGCUAACUACGUGCCAGCAGCCGC
rnacentral:rRNA from 1 species